ACGACUGCUAAGACUGGAUAGGAGACAAGAAGGCAUCUUCUUGUUUUUAAAAGACCUAGCAAUAGGUAUGCUUAGGGAGGAGCUUGCGUCACAUUAGUUAGUUGGUGGGGUAAAGGCCUACCAAGACUAUGAUGUGUAGCCGGGCUGAGAGGUUGAACGGCCACAUUGGGACUGAGACACGGCCCAAACUCCUACGGGAGGCAGCAGUAGGGAAUUUUCGGCAAUGGAGGAAACUCUGACCGAGCAACGCCGCGUGAACGAUGAAGUAUUUCGGUACGUAAAGUUCUUUUAUUAGGGAAGAAUAAAUGAUGGAAAAAUCAUUCUGACGGUACCUAAUGAAUAAGCCCCGGCUAACUAUGUGCCAGCAGCCGCGGUAAUACAUAGGGGGCAAGCGUUAUCUGGAAUUAUUGGGCGUAAAGGGUGCGUAGGCGGUUAAAUAAGUUUAUGGUCUAAGUGCAAUGCUCAACAUUGUGAUGCUAUAAAAACUGUUUAGCUAGAGUAAGAUAGAGGCAAGUGGAAUUCCAUGUGUAGUGGUAAAAUGCGUAAAUAUAUGGAGGAACACCAGUAGCGAAGGCGGCUUGCUGGGUCUUUACUGACGCUGAGGCACGAAAGCGUGGGGAGCAAACAGGAUUAGAUACCCUGGUAGUCCACGCCGUAAACGAUGAGUACUAAACGUUGGGUAAAACCAGUGUUGAAGUUAACACAUUAAGUACUCCGCCUGAGUAGUACGUACGCAAGUAUGAAACUUAAAGGAAUUGACGGGACUCCGCACAAGCGGUGGAUCAUGUUGUUUAAUUCGAAGGUACCCGAAAAACCUCACCAGGUCUUGACAUGCUUCUGCAAAGCUGUAGAAACACAGUGGAGGUUAUCAGUUGCACAGGUGGUGCAUGGUUGUCGUCAGCUCGUGUCGUGAGAUGUUGGGUUAAGUCCCGCAACGAGCGCAACCCUUAUUGUUAGUUACCAGCACGUAAUGGUGGGGACUUUAGCAAGACUGCCAGUGAUAAAUUGGAGGAAGGUGGGGGCGACGUCAAAUCAUCAUGCCCCUUAUGACCUGGGCUACAAACGUGAUACAAUGGCUGUUACAAAGGGUAGCUGAAGCGCAAGUUUUUGGCGAAUCUCAAAAAAACAGUCUCAGUUCGGAUUGAAGUCCGCAACUCGACUUCAUGAAGUUGGAAUCGCUAGUAAUCGCGAAUCAGCAUGUCGCGGUGAAUACGUUCGCGGGGUUUGUACACACCGCCCGUCA
rnacentral:rRNA from 1 species